AUUGAACGCUGGCGGCAGGCUUAACACAUGCAAGUCGAGCGGGGAGAUGUAGCUUGCUACAUAUCCUAGCGGCGGACGGGUGAGUAAUGCUUAGGAAUCUGCCUAUUAGUGGGGGACAACAUUCCGAAAGGAAUGCUAAUACCGCAUACGCCCUACGGGGGAAAGCAGGGGAUCUUCGGACCUUGCGCUAAUAGAUGAGCCUAAGUCGGAUUAGCUAGUUGGUGGGGUAAAGGCCUACCAAGGCGACGAUCUGUAGCGGGUCUGAGAGGAUGAUCCGCCACACUGGGACUGGGACACGGCCCAGACUCCUACGGGAGGCAGCAGUGGGGAAUAUUGGACAAUGGGCGCAAGCCUGAUCCAGCCAUGCCGCGUGUGUGAAGAAGGCCUUUUGGUUGUAAAGCACUUUAAGCGAGGAGGAGGCUCCUUUAGUUAAUACCUAAAGAGAGUGGACGUUACUCGCAGAAUAAGCACCGGCUAACUCUGUG
rnacentral:rRNA from 1 species